CAGCGGCGGCGGCGGCAGGAGGGAGCAAAAGAGCGGCGGCGGCUGGACGCGCGGUCGCGCGCGCUCGAUUUCGUCCUCGGCACUCCUCGCGUGGAUGAUGGUGGCCGGCCGCGCGCGCGACGGCUGGACGAUGGUGGUCUCGGCGACGCUCGUAAGCUCGUCCUCGUUCUCUUGGAGGACGGCAUCCUUGUGCGGGUCUCUGCGCUCACGGGAACGCCUCCACGCGCCACUACACGGCCUCCGUCGUCGUCCCGUAGCUUGACCCUCGCCGCCGGCCUGCCGCACGCUUCUCCUAGGCACCACGGUGUUGGGGACGGAGCAUGUGACGCGUCCACAUGCGACCACAUGCACUCGCUUGAGGGCGAGCUCGGCUGAUGCCUAUAACGUCAAGAGGGUUUGCUGCAGCACUGCUCGGUCUCGAGGUAGUCUGGGUGAGGCGGGUUCAGCACUUCAGCUCUGAUCCAUGACCUCCUUCAUGCUCCAGAUCAGGCCCUCCAUCAAGUAGAUGCUGCCCCUCUGAACAAGAUUGGACUUUGAUGAACCCAAUCAGUACUCCUCUCUGAGUUUCUCUCAUUUGUCAGGU